AGCUGUGCUUGGCUGUCACAGAGUGACGGAGCUGCCAUCUCUGUGGAGGAACAACUGAUCCCUGACAAAGGUUCCCCAACGCUGACCAGGAGCGCUCAUAUGUCAAGGCAGGGCUGCAAGGACACUAGCUCAGUUUCCAUUUAAAAAUGUCAUGUGAGACACCAGGGCUUCACGGCAUUCUUCUGUAAAUGUGAAGACGAGGAAUGGAAGAAAGCUAUGAAACAUUUGAGGAGGAGUUGGGGCCAUCGAGAGCAGAGCCUCCUCCACAGAAGCCUGUUCGACAGAUCCGCAGACCAGAAAUGUAUUCUUCAAGAAAAAUGCGAGAGGACAUGAUGCCGGUUUCACAGCAGCUGAGAUCAGAACCCAAGAUUUUACCAAAGCAGCCCAGUUUCUCUACACCAGCAUCCCUUCACAAAAGUUUAUCCAUCCAGAACCUCGCUCAGGUAGAAAUGCCGUGGGAGAGCGUCACGCUAAACCGCUGCCUGUUCGCGGCCAUAAUCAUUCUGGUGCUCACAUCAGGAUUCCAAAGACUAAGCGAAACUAUUCGUGGUCAAAAACCAGUUGAUGAGGAAGAGGAUGGACUUAUGAGGAGACCCUUGCAAAUGGUAAACAGAGGGCAGCCUCUACAGCCAGAGAAAUCUCUGUGGGAAGUCAUGUUUUGGUGGCUGCCUGACCUGGAUGAUGAUGACGAAGAUGAUGGGAUCCGAAGAGGAAGAUCAAAGAGAGGAGCCAUUACGACAAAAGCAAGAACCCACAGAAACAGACCCUUUCCUGGUAAAAAACUCCUAAAGCAAAGAGAUGGGAAAUUAAAGGACAGGAGAGCCAGGAAAAGGAUGAACAAAGAAAUCAAAGAUGAAGAAACUGUGAAAACAGCAGACAUGGAAGGAACAACAACAGAGGAAAGAGAGGAAGAAACGACUUCUGAGAAAAUCAAAAGCUUGACAAAAAAGAAGGAAAAGAAACAGACAAAAGAAGAAUCAAACAAGAGCUAAAGAUGCAAACUGUAUGUCUUCUUAUCACUUUUCCCUAAACUGUGCAUGAAGAAACAACAGAAAAGGAUUAUAAUGUAAUAAAAGACAACAUUUGUCACUUUACAUGUGAGUUGUGCUUUGAAAUUUUAUGAAAUGGUUCAGUUUAAAUUAGAUUUAUUUUUUUUUUAAAUCUAAUAAAAUCCAGUUUAAGAUCAACAUUAGAUCAUGAACAAUUAUCACAAACUUUAGAUUUUUAUUAAUGAUC
ensembl:lncRNA